GACGAACGCUGGCGGCGUGCUUAACACAUGCAAGUCGAACGGAAAGGCCCUGCUUUUGUGGGGUGCUCGACUGGCGAACGGGUGAGUAACACGUGCGUCACCUGCCCUUGACUUUGGGCUAACUUCAGUAAACUAGGGCUACUACCGGAUAGGAGAUCCCGUCGCAUGGUGGGGGUUGGAAAGUUUCGGCGGUUGGGGAUUGACUCGUGGUAGCUCGUCUUGUUGGUGGGGUAGUGGCUUACCAAGGCUAUGACGGGUAGCUGGCCCGAGAGGGUGACCGGCCACAUGGGGACUGAGAUACGGCCCAGACUCGUACGGGAGGCAGCAGUGGGGAAGAUUGCACAAUGGGCCGAAGCCGGAUGCAGCAACGCCGCGUGCGGGAUGACGGCCUUCGGGUUGUAAACCGCUUUCGCCUGUGACGAAGCGUGAGUGACGGUAAUGGAUAAAGAAGCACCGGCUAACUACGUG
rnacentral:rRNA from 1 species